AUGUGUAUAUGUUUAUGUGUGGUGCAAAUUAAAGUAAAAGAAAAGGGAAAAUAAAAAGAAAAUAGUAGGGCCCACUCUUCCUUUAAUUUUAAUGGUCAAGAGACUAUCUCUAGUCUCUAAUCUCUCUUCAGUCCCGUUACUCUCUCUCAUUUCCUCUCAAACUUGCUUUUUCUUUUGCAAUCAAAACUUUGAUCUUAGAUUUCUCUUUCAUUAUUUGGAAUUUUUAAAUGUCGUUUGCAGCAAAUUGAAGCCCGCGACGAGAUCUUCAAAUCCAUACCAGCAAUUUUAGCUUUUGGCCACUCUAGGAAGUCCGAAAAUUGAGACCCAUUUUGAGGGUUUGAGGUGAAAAUUGGGGCUUUUGGCUUAGAUUGAGAUAGGGGUUUCUAAUUCCCAAUUUCUUGUUCUUUUGUACCGAAGAUGAACGGGAAUCGUAGAUUCGAGCUUAGGCGGAAGAGUUGGCCUGGAGGAUUUAUUUUAUUUAUUUGGAGAUUUUUUUGUGUAUUUGAGGAAAUUAACUUUGUAUAAAAGAGGGGGUAAUUUUUGUGAUCCUGGUGUAUUUUGAUAUAUCUGAUUUUGAAUAAAUUGAGGAUUUUAUUGGAAUUGUCAGGGUGUGACAUAAUUGUUGUAAUAAAAAGUUUGUGCUUAGUCGUGUUGAUGGUA